GGAAGAAUGAGGCAACAAUUCUCAUAUAUUUCUGGGUCCAGUAAAGUUUUCUUCAGGAAAAGGUCAGAGUGAAGGAAUCAAACUUCAAUGUCAUGAAUUUACAACCCUUUAUUACAGGAUCAUUUCCUAUAUUUACCAGUUUUCAGGUCACCUUUAACAUCAGACUGACGGCACAUAUUGAGAAGAGAUGAUAUGCAAAGAACUGUCACAGUAAAAAAUGUGAUUAAUCCAAUUGUUGUCAUUACAUCGCAUAUGAGAUUAGAAUAGAAUUAGAUGGCGG
rnacentral:lncRNA from 11 species